rnacentral:lncRNA from 1 species
UCCCGUCAUUGGACAAAAUUUUAAGUCAGAAUGUACUUCCGGUUUGCGUUUUUCUGUAUAUUGAACAUACAUAUACUACGAAUAAAGUGUAUUUUCAGAAUUCUAUCUGCUAUCAUUUCCAAGUUUACUAUCCACGGCGGUCAUAGAGUUUAUUAAAUAGAGAGGGUCUGUAUACUAUAUCAAUGACCACCAUGGAUCGAUUAGAAAACUUAGAAUUGAAAGUAAAUACACUUAUUUAUAUAGUAAUGGAUGUUCAUAAUAUACAGAUAAGCGUUAACUCUCCACAAGAGACCAACAUGACACAGAAAUUAACAACUAUAGGUCACCAUACGGCCUUCAACAACGAGCAAAGCC